rnacentral:rRNA from 1 species
CAGUCGCCGCGGGAAUACGUAGGGUGCGAGCGUUAAUCGGAAUUACUGGGCGUAAAGCGUGCGCAGGCGGUUUUGUAAGACAGGCGUGAAAUCCCCGGGCUCAACCUGGGAAUGGCGCUUGUGACUGCAAAGCUAGAGUGCGGCAGAGGGGGAUGGAAUUCCGCGUGUAGCAGUGAAAUGCGUAGAUAUGCGGAGGAACACCGAUGGCGAAGGCAAUCCCCUGGGCCUGCACUGACGCUCAUGCACGAAAGCGUGGGGAGCAAACAGGAUUAGAUACCCGCGUAGUCCCUGUCUCUUAUAA